rnacentral:pre_miRNA from 1 species
UUACUACUCCCUCCGUUCGGAAUUACUUGUCGCAGAAAUGGAUGUAUCUAGAUGUAUUUUAGCUCUAGAUACAUCCAUAUUCGAGACAAGUAAUUCCGAACGGAGGGAGUAGUUG